CAGUCGCCGCGGUAAUACAGAGGAUGCAAGCGUUAUCCGGAAUGAUUGGGCGUAAAGGGCUCGCAGGCGGUUUCUUAAGUCUGAUGUGAAGGCCCCCGGCUCAACCGGGGAGGGUCAUUGGAAACUGGGAAACUUGAGUGCAGAAGAGGAGAGUGGAAUUCCACGUGUAGCGGUGAAAUGCGUAGAGAUGUGGAGGAACACCAACGGCGAAAGCACUCUGCUGGGCCGACACUGACACUGAGGGACGAAAGCGUGGGUAGCGAACGGGAUUAGAUACCCCAGUAGUCCCUGUCUCUUAUAC
rnacentral:rRNA from 1 species